rnacentral:rRNA from 1 species
UUUUAUUUGAGAGUUUGAUCCUGGCUCAGGAUGAACGCUGGCGGCGUGCCUAACACAUGCAAGUUGAGCGAUUUACUUCGGUAAAGAGCGGCGGACGGGUGAGUAACGCGUGGGUAACCUACCCUGUACACACGGAUAACAUACCGAAAGGUAUGCUAAUACGGGAUAAUAUAUUUGAGAGGCAUCUCUUGAAUAUCAAAGGUGAGCCAGUACAGGAUGGACCCGCGUCUGAUUAGCUAGUUGGUAAGGUAACGGCUUACCAAGGCGACGAUCAGUAGCCGACCUGAGAGGGUGAUCGGCCACAUUGGAACUGAGACACG